UGAGGGAGUAUAAGCACCUGAAUUCGUCAUAGGACAUGUGACGUUUGAAGUGGCGCCAGAUCACCAGCGAAUAGAUGACUGAUCGCCAUGCGUUGGGGGAUAACUGUGCAGGGCAAAUCUUGUAAUGAAUCAAAAUUUCCCUAAUGGUCGGAUGAAUGGGAAGCCUUAAGCCGGCCAGAAAAGCGGCUUCGUAAAACGCCACCUCGCCUUGACGGGCUGAUAAAAUUGUCUCGCCAUCCCCAGGAAUC
rnacentral:lncRNA from 1 species